ensembl:snRNA U6 U6 spliceosomal RNA
GUGCUUACUUCAGCAGCACAUACCCAAAACUGGAACAAAGAAGAUUAGCACGGCCCCCUGCAUAAGGAUGACACCCAAAUUUGUGAAGUGUUCCAUAUUUUU